rnacentral:rRNA from 1 species
UACGUAGGGUGCAAGCGUUGUCCGGAAUUAUUGGGCGUAAAGAGCUCGUAGGCGGUUUGUCGCGUCUGCUGUGAAAUCCCGAGGCUCAACCUCGGGUCUGCAGUGGGUACGGGCAGACUAGAGUGUGGUAGGGGAGAGCGGAAUUCCCCGGUGUAGUGGUGGAAUGCGUAGAGAUCGGGAGGAACACCAGUGGCGAAAGCGGCUCUCUGGUCCAAAACUGACGCUGAGGGGCGAAAGCGUGGGGAGCGAACGGG